AUCAGCACCAUUCUCAGGUUCACGGGGGCUGGGGAGGAAGAUGGUGCACCCUGGACAACCCUCAGAGGAGGAGAAAAUCACCGGCUCCCAAUUUGGGCAGCGAAUCAGAAGCAGCAUGGAUUCACUGCCUUUUGAAAUAGUGAAACUACCGUCAUUGGAGAAAGGCGAACUGUGGUUAGGCGACCUGGGAUUCCUCCGCUGGGAGAGAGGUUGAACUAGGUGAACUUGAAGGUUUCAUGCAAGGAAAGAGAAGUUAGCUGAUAUUUAUGUAGACCAGCUUCUAGAUUGACACUAAGUACAAAGCUAAUGUGUAUUUACUAUGGCUUUAAUCUAUACUGAUUAAGAAUGUCUCAUUUAUUCACCUGCACCUCAUGUUUUACUUGGCAUGUAUCUUUAUUAUAGUUAAUAUAAAUAUCACAUUAGCUGCUUACAGAACAUAUAGAAUUUGCUGUCCUGAGUUUAUUUACAAGUUAGUACCUCAUUUAUGAGACUUUUUACCCCUUGAGAACAUCCGCCUUCUUCUUGAAAACUGUGACUGGUUCAUUAUAAACAUAUAUUCGUAUAAUGGAGUUAAUGGGGUUAUCAUCUGUUUAUCUCUUUUAAUUAGGCCCUGAUUUGCCCAAACAAUUUCAGUUACUUUCUUGAUUACAGUUGGAGGAGCAUGUGGUUUGGUGUGGGCUUGGUAAAGAGCUGCUGUCUGCUUCUCUAAAUCCACGUAUAGUAUCAUAUGUUCAGGCUGAGUUAAUAUUUGAUAUGUGAGUUGUUCCCUUAUCUUGUUAGAUACUCUUGAUAAAAGAAUUCCCACUCAUGAAUUUUCAUGGAUAUACCUCUGGAAAGGAAUUGAGAAAAAUAAAUGUUGUGCUAUUUGGAAAGGUUGGGAGACACGUUGCAAUCGAG
rnacentral:lncRNA from 1 species